rnacentral:rRNA from 1 species
ACUCCUACGGGAGGCAGCAGUGGGAAUAUUGCACAAUGGGCGCAAGCCUGAUGCAGCCAUGCCGCGUGUAUGAAGAAGGCUUUCGGGUUGUAAAGUACUUUCAGCAGUGAGGAAGGUGGGUAUGUUAAUAGCAUACUCAUUUGACGUUAGCUGACAGAAGAAGCACCGGCUAACUCCGUGCCAGCAGCCGCGGUAAUACGGAGGGUGCGAGCGUUAAUCGGAAUUACUGGGCGUAAAGCGCAUGCAGGUGGUUUGUUAAGUCAGAUGUGAAAAGCCC